rnacentral:rRNA from 1 species
UGGGGAAUAUUGGACAAUGGGCGCAAGCCUGAUCCAGCCAUGCCGCGUGAGUGAAGAAGGCCUUCGGGUUGUAAAGCUCUUUCAGAUGCGAAGAUGAUGACGGUACCAUCAGAAGAAGCCCCGGCUAAUUUCGUGCCAGCAGCCGCGGUAAUACGAAAGGGGCAAGCGUUGUUCGGAUUUACUGGGCGUAAAGGGCACGCAGGCGGUCUUGCCAGUCAGGGGUGAAAGCCCGGGGCUCAACCCCGGAACUGCCUCUGAUACUGCAAGACUAGAGACUAGGAGAGGGUGGUGGAAUUCCCAGUGUAGAGGUGAAAUUCGUAG